rnacentral:rRNA from 1 species
GAUGAACGCUGGCGGCGUGCCUAAUACAUGCAAGUCGAGCGAACAGACGAUGAGCUUGCUCCUCUGACGUUAGCGGCGGACGGGUGAGUAACACGUGUAUAACCUACCUAUAAGACUGGUAUAACUUCGGGAAACCGGAGCUAAUACCGGAUAAUAUAUUGAACCGCAUGGUGCAAUAGUGAAAGACGGUUUUGCUGGCAGUUAUAGAUGGAUCCGCGCCGCAUUGGCUGGUUGGUAAGGUAACGGCUUACCAAGGCAACGAGGCGUAGACGGCCUGAGAGGGUGAUCGGCCACACUGGAGCUUAGCCGCGGUCCAGACUCCUACGGGAGGCAGCAGUAGGGAAUCCUACGCAAUGGGCGAAAGCUUGACGGAGCAACGCCGCGUGAGUGACGAAGGUCUUCGGAUCGUAAAACUCUGUUAUUAGGGAAGAACAAAUGUGUAAGUAACUAUGCACGUCUUGACGGUACCUAAUCAGAAAGCCACGGCUAACUACGUG